rnacentral:snRNA from 1 species
GUUUCCUUCAGUGAUACAGAUAGUGAAGUUAGAAUGAUACAAAAAAAAGGUUAGCAAGGUGCUUGCUUAGGAGUGACAAGCAAAUUUGUGAAGCAUUCAUAU